UACUACAUAUAUAACUCACACACACAUUCAAUAAAUUUAGGCAUCUAAAUUGUUACAUUAAAUCCUAGUUACAUAAAAUUUAAAGUUGAAGACUCAUCUCAUGGAUUCUACUACAACUAAGGGUAAUGAAAGAGUUAACGAUGAGGGAGUGGUGGAGAGAAAAGUGGAGACAGUCGAUUACCGGAAGCCGGCGGGAGAGGAGGAGCCACGGCCGGAGAAGGUGGCGGUGACUCAUCUCGUUCAAUGUUAAUUUUAUGAAUGCCUCGUCUUUUGGUGUUCUAGUGCUUUAUUUUUAUACAUCUUGGUCUUCAAAGAUCCUUAUUUGCAUAUCAUAAAUGAACGUUUACUUAUAUAAUUUCGAUCGACCGGAACUUAAUGACGCUUUUAUUAC